rnacentral:rRNA from 1 species
AUCAUGGCUCAGAACGAACGCUGGCGGCGUGGAUAAGACAUGCAAGUCGAACGGGGUUUUCUUUGGUAGCAAUACCGAGGAAAGUCCAGUGGCGAACGGGUGCGUAACACGUGGGCAAUCUGCCUUAAAGUGGGGGAUAGCUCGGCGAAAGCCGAAUUAAUACCGCAUGUGAUCAGGGGAGAUAUCUUCCCGAAAUCAAAAGUGGCGCAAGCUACUGCUUUUUGAGGAGCCCGCGGCCUAUCAGCUAGUUGGUGAGGUAAUGGCUCACCAAGGCUUUGACGGGUAGCUGGUCUGAGAGGACGACCAGUCACACUGGAACUGAGACACGGUCCGGACACCUACGGGUGGCAGCAGUCGAGAAUUUUUCUCAAUGGGGGAAACCCUGAAGGAGCGACGCCGCGUGGAGGAUGAAGGUCUUCGGGUUGUAAACUCCUGUCAUUUGGGAACAAGUCGGACGUAGUAACUAUACGUGCGUUAUAGUACCAAAAGAAAGACGGCUAAUCUGC